GACGUAGGGCGCGAGCGUUGUCCGGAUUUAUUGGGCGUAAAGAGCUCGUAGGCGGUUUGUCGCGUCUGCUGUGAAAACCUGAGGCUCAACCUCGGGCUUGCAGUGGGUACGGGCAGACUAGAGUGCGGUAGGGGUGACUGGAAUUCCUGGUGUAGCGGUGGAAUGCGCAGAUAUCAGGAGGAACACCGAUGGCGAAGGCAGGUCACUGGGCCGCAACUGACGCUGAGGAGCGAAAGCAUGGGGAGCGAACAGG
rnacentral:rRNA from 1 species